AGAGCCCCAGCCCCCAGCCCGGAGGAAGAGACAGGCAAGCUUUCCUCCAGUGCUUCAGCUUGACCCUCCUGUACAGCAGAGACCUCCCAGUAAGAAAGCCCCAGGGGGCUGCAUCUUCUUCCAUGUGGUCCGUGAGGGAUGUGGCACAUGGCCCAGAGAGGGUAUUGUGUACGCUGCCAGGUGCCAGCCUACAGGUCAUCCUGGCCACUCUGCAACUUUGGAAAUCACGACCUGAGUCCUUCUCCCAUCCCGUUCCAUGACCCAGAUCCCGUUAAUAAGGGAGAAGGAGAUCACACCGUGCAGUGGGAACUUCUCUCAUCUGUUCUUGAUUCCAGAUGAUGAGCUUGGUGCUCCCUUUCCAUAUAGUGAUCUGGAUCCAGAUUUUGUGCCUGCGGGACAACCCAGAGAUGUGACUGGACGAGAUGACCCAGCUUCCCGUCUGAGUUCUGGGACUGAAACUCCGGCGGAUCGCGUGGUAGUGCCCACAGGGAGGGCCUUGCCCGGUCCUUGGUUUCUUCCUGUGCCGGAGCGCAGCUGGAAUCCCAGGGGUCCGGAAGGAGGAAAGGAUGAAUCCCAAAGAGGAAGAUACUCCCAGGGCUCAUCCCAUCUCCUGGAGGAACUGGUGAAGGAAAUGGAGAAGGCAGCGCGUGGGGCUGACCAACAGACUGCGCAGAAGGAGGCACUGCAAGAAGGCAGCCCUCCCACACGGCCAGCCUUGGACAAUGAAACCCAGGCAGUGCAAGCAACUGGCAUGCCAGGGAUGAAUGCAGGGAACACGACGGCUGCUGUUCGCACAUUUCAGCGACAGCGCUACAUCUCAGCGAUUGCGGCGGCCUCUGCUGUGCUGCUGUCUGCGCUGGUGCUGGCCCGUGUUGCCGUGUCAUGGAUGUGGAAAAAAUAUGUAGAGGGCAAGAGAGAAAAGAAAGCAGCAAAACGAGCUCAUCCUGACACCGAUGGGAAAAGAGUUCCAACUGGAGGUGAAGGCACAGUGGAGCUAGGAGAUGGCAAAAGAGGACUGGUCCCUUCCGAUUCGCUUGAAGAAGUUUCAAAUGACGAAAUACCGGUGUGGGAAAGGAUACCGUAUUGA
rnacentral:lncRNA from 1 species